rnacentral:rRNA from 1 species
GACGAACGCUGGCGGCGUGCUUAACACAUGCCAGUCGAACGGAAAGGCCCUGCUUUUGUGGGGUGCUCGAGUGGCGAACGGGUGAGUAACACGUGAGUAACCUGCCCUUGACUUUGGGAUAACUUCAGGAAACUGGGGCUAAUACCGGAUAGGAGCUCCUGCUGCAUGGUGGGGGUUGGAAAGUUUCGGCGGUUGGGGAUGGACUCGCGGCUUAUCAGCUUGUUGGUGGGGUAGUGGCUUACCAAGGCUUUGACGGGUAGCCGGCCUGAGAGGGUGACCGGCCACAUUGGGACUGAGAUACGGCACAGACUCCUACGGGAGGCAGCAGUGGGGAAGAUUGCACAAUGGGCGGAAGCCUGAUGCAGCAACGCCGCGUGCGGGAUGACGGCCUUCGGGUUGUAAACCGCUUUCGCCUGUGACGAAGCGUGAGUGACGGUAAUGGGUAAAGAAGCACCGGCUAACUACGUG